rnacentral:rRNA from 1 species
UUCUUCAUUAAAAAUAUUUAGAAAAACUAAUUAAUUAAAAGGAACUCGGCAAAUUUAGUUGCUUCGCCUGUUUAUCAAAAACAUGGCUCUCUGUUUAUAUAAACAUAGAGAGUCGGGCCUGCCCAGUGAAUUUUCAACGGCCGCGGUACUCUGACCGUGCAAAGGUAGCAUAAUCAUUUGCCUUAUAAUUGAAGGCUAGUAUGAAUGGUUUGACGAGAGCGACGCUGUCUCUUUCUUAUUUUCAAGAACUUAACUUUUAGGUGAAGAGGCCUAAAUUCUAUUGAAGGACAAGAAGACCCUGUCGAGCUUAAAAGACAAGAUAGAAGCCUAUAUAUUUUUAAAUAAAUUUCUAUUAAGCUUUUUAGUUGGGGCGACUAAGGAACAAAAAAAGCUUCUUUUGAAUAAUAAACAUUCAUGUUUGGAUCCGGGAGUAACCGAUUAAAGGAAUUAGUUACCGUAGGGAUAACAGCAUAAUCUCUCUUGAGAGACCUAAUCGAAAGAGGGGGUUGUGACCUCGAUGUUGGACUAGAAUAUCCUAAAGAUGCAGA